AUUGAACGCUGGCGGCAGGCCUAACACAUGCAAGUCGAACGGUAACAGGAAACAGCUUGCUGUUUCGCUGACGAGUGGCGGACGGGUGAGUAAUGUCUGGGAAACUGCCUGAUGGAGGGGGAUAACUACUGGAAACGGUAGCUAAUACCGCAUAACGUCGCAAGACCAAAGAGGGGGACCCUCGGGCCUCUUGCCAUCGGAUGUGCCCAGAUGGGAUUAGCUUGUUGGUGGGGUAACGGCUCGCCAAGGCGACGAUCCCUAGCUGGUCUGAGAGGAUGACCAGCCACACUGGAACUGAGACACGGUCCAGACUCCUACGGGAGGCAGCAGUGGGGAAUAUUGCACAAUGGGCGCAAGCCUGAUGCAGCCAUGCCGCGUGUAUGAAGAAGGCCUUCGGGUUGUAAAGUACUUUCAGCGGGGAGGAAGGGAGUAAAGUUAAUACCUUUGCUCAUUGACGUUACCCGCAGAAGAAGCACCGGCUAACUCCGUG
rnacentral:rRNA from 1 species